GCUUAACUGUGCAUGCACUUUUCUAUUUGGUGCUUGCAGACGUUAUGGGAAAGUUGUCUCUCUCCCUCUCCCCAUCCCUCCCUCCUUCUCCUUCUCUUCGUCUAUCAUGUGCUUGGUAUAUGCUCAUGCUUUGCACAGAGCAGCUGAAGCACGCCUAAUGCAGGCUACUGAGUGUUAGCGGCAAUUUUAAAGUGAUGCCCCCCCACCAAAUAAUACGGCUGGGAUAUUUGCGGGGAACAUAUACCACAUCACGGUGCACACGGACGCAACUGAACACCGCUGUUCUUCUCCUGCUUGGGACGCUUCCUGAUCGACUUCAGUGAUUUGACUCAGCUUUAGGAAUGAUGGAAAAAUGGAGCUGUGGAGAGCUGCAUGCUGCAGGACGUAGAGGUCAACAUGAGAUCUCUGGGAUUUUGCUCUCCACUGGACCCCCAUGAGGUUGGAUAGAGACCUCGUAGAUGAUGACCCAGAAACAAAUGGCAUAAUGAACAGAGUCUCCAGGCUGAAGACGUCAAGGAUAUUCAGCUGAUCUCAGAGGUAAAUGAGAGAGGAUUUCAUCACGACAAGAGCGUCAAGAUGUCUGCUCAUAAAUCUCACAAGCUCCAGGAGCUUCAAAUUACGACACCUGGACCUGCACUGUACUCUUUAUCUCUGUAUUUCUGUCAUCUGGUUUUAUAAGAUUGUUGACCAAACAGACAAAUACUGUGACUUUUUUAUAUUUAUAUGAGACAAUACUUGGGAAAUAGGAUAAAAAUGUUCUACACGUCAAAAUUUAUUUCAUGUAAUGGAUUGAGUCUAACAAGUAUAUUUGUUGACAGCUAAAUAAAGGCAUUUUAUUCCUUUUAAGUAAUGUUUUAGUGUGCGUUAUUUCCUCCUUUCGGUGUAGUGC